rnacentral:rRNA from 1 species
CAGGAUGAACGCUAGCGACAGGCUUAACACAUGCAAGUCGAGGGGCAGCAUGAUUUGUAGCAAUACAGAUUGAUGGCGACCGGCGCACGGGUGAGUAACGCGUAUGCAACUUACCUAUCAGAGGGGGAUAGCCCGGCGAAAGUCGGAUUAAUACCCCAUAAAACAGGGGUCCCGCAUGGGAAUAUUUGUUAAAGAUUCAUCGCUGAUAGAUAGGCAUGCGUUCCAUUAGGCAGUUGGCGGGGUAACGGCCCACCAAACCGACGAUGGAUAGGGGUUCUGAGAGGAAGGUCCCCCACAUUGGUACUGAGACACGGACCAAACUCCUACGGGAGGCAGCAGUGAGGAAUAUUGGUCAAUGGCCGAGAGGCUGAACCAGCCAAGUCGCGUGAAGGAAGAAGGAUCUAUGGUUUGUAAACUUCUUUUAUAGGGGAAUAAAGUGGAGGACGUGUCCUUUUUUGUAUGUACCCUAUGAAUAAGCAUCGGCUAACUCCGUGCCAGCAGCCGCGGUAAUACGGAGGAUGCGAGCGUUAUCCGGAUUUAUUGGGUUUAAAGGGUGCGUAGGUGGUGAUUUAAGUCAGCGGUGAAAGUUUGUGGCUCAACCAUAAAAUUGCCGUUGAAACUGGGUUACUUGAGUGUGUUUGAGGUAGGCGGAAUGCGUGGUGUAGCGGUGAAAUGCAUAGAUAUCACGCAGAACUCCGAUUGCGAAGGCAGCUUACUAAACCAUAACUGACACUGAAGCACGAAAGCGUGGGGAUCAAACAGGAUUAGAUAC